CCUACGGGGGGCUGCAGUAAGGAAUAUUGGUCAAUGGACGAAAGUCUGAACCAGCCAUCCCGCGUGCAGGAUGAAAGCCCUAUGGGUUGUAAACUGCUUUUAGCAGAGAAGAAAAGCUUUCAUUAAUGAGAGUCUGACGGUAUCUGCAGAAUAAGCACCGGCUAACUCCGUGCCAGCAGCCGCGGUAAUACGGAGGGUGCGAGAGUUAUCCGGAUUUACUGGGUUGUAGGGGGGGUUAGACGUCGUAUGUGAAAUCUUGUGGCUGAACGAUAGAAUUGCCAAGGAUACUGGUACUCUUGAAUUGGGUUGAGGUUAGCGGAAUGUGACAUGUAGCGGUGAAAUGCAUAGAUAUGUCAUGGAACACCAAUUGCGAAGGCAGCUAACUGGGCCUUGAUUGACGCUGAGGCACGAAAGCGUGGGUAGCGAACAGGAUUAGAUACCCCUGUAGUC
rnacentral:rRNA from 1 species